UUCCUGGGUGCUGUUGAGUUCCUAGUCUCUAGGUUCUUUCCAGUAGCUAAUUCGAGCGGCGAAGCAACUCUUGGGGUUACCAGCCCCUUGAGCCAAGUAACGUUGGUCAAGAUAUGAAUACUGUGCCUCGGAUAAACAACACAACAACAACUUCAGCGACUUCCUGUCCUGAUGCAAUUAAAACACGGACCUUCUGGGACGUGUGCUUUUAUUAGACUAAAACCAAGCGAUCAAUUGAUCGUUAUAUUGGUUGAACUCUAGAUAACAUGCAGAUCAUAUGGUCUUGUACCGACGACAGAUCUUUCAAAUGUCUGCCCUAUCAACUUUUGAUGGUAGUAUCUAGGACUACCAUGGUUGCAACGGGUAACGGGGAAUCAGGGUUCGAUUCCGGAGAGGGAGCCUGAGAAACGGCUACCACAUCUAAGGAAGGCAGCAGGCGCGUAAAUUACCCACUCCCAGCUCGGGGAGGUAGUGACGAAAAAUAACAAUACAGAACUCAUAUCCGAGGCCCUGUAAUUGGAAUGAAUACUUUUAAUCCUUUAACAAGGACCAAUUGGAGGGCAAGUCUGGUGCCAGCAGCCGCGGUAAUUCCAGCUCCAAUAGCGUAUAUUAAAGUUGUUGCGGUUAAAACGUUCGUAGUUGAACUUCUGCUUCAUACGGGUAGUACAACAUACAUUUGUAGUUAGUACUAUACCUUUAUGUAUGUAAGCGUAUUAUCGGUGGAGUUCUUAUAUGUAAUUAAGUACUUGUACUUUUUUAUAUAUUCCUCCUAUUUAAAAACCUACAUUAGUGCUCUUAAUCGAGUGUUUUUGUGGGCCGGUACAAUUACUUUGAACGAUUUAGAGUGCUUAAAGCAGGCUUCAAAUGCCUGAAUAUUCUGUGCAUGGGAUAAUGAAAUAAGACCUCUGUUCUGCUUUCAUUGGUUUUCAGAUCAAGAGGU
rnacentral:ncRNA from 1 species